rnacentral:lncRNA from 1 species
ACUCUCCCUAUGACACGGCAACUGGGCCUUGCUGGCCCCCUUCCUGUCCCCUGCCCCCCAUCAGUCUGGGGGCUCCAGCUGCCCAUCUGCUGGUCCCCUGCAGUGGCGGGCAGGGUCUCAGAGGCAGUCUGGGGUAUCACGUGGGAGCCCUUCCUUGCCAGCGGCCUCCCCUCCUGACGGGCUCUGUGGGCAGCAAGCCACCUACCUCUCCAGCACCUGCUCAGGUGCCACCGUCUGCCAGGCCGUGUGACCCCACUGUGGCUGGGACAGCUCUCUCCGCUGCACCCCCAGGGCUGCAGCCUGUCCUCUGAGGCCCUGGGCCACGCAGCUGGGCUGGGUUCCGAGGGGCUGGGAAGCCACUGUGUCUGUGUCACUGCCAUCAUCUGAGCAACCAUGCCACCCCAGGCUCGGCUCCCAGAGACCCUGGGUUUUGGGCUUCACAAGUGGGUCUGGAGGGGGCUCACCCAACAGGUGUGCCCUUCAGGUCCGCCUUCUCUCUGGGGGCCUUCAUCCUGUCUCAUCCUCAUUAUCCUCUUCUGCUUACACUUCCACAGUUGGGGAGUUGGAUCUAUUGCAAAGAGUUAAAUGAAACUGAUGAAAAAUGCAAGAGCAUAAAGUUCUAACAAACGUGAGACAGGUGGCACCAGACUGUCUGCUUGGAAAGAAAACUUGAAGUAGCGCCGCAACGCAAGCAGCUGCUUCCUGAAUCCAGAAGCUUCAAGUAAUCAAGUAUCUCAUGCUCCUUAUUUACAGCACCUCUUCCUCCUUCUCUUUUUGAUCUUUUUUCUCUUUUCAUUCUGUCAUUUCCCUGGAUAGUCUCAGCCACUCCCAUGACUUUAAUAUUUAUUUGCCUUUUUCAAAUCUUCAUCCAAUCUCUAUAUUAUUUUUUAUUCAAUAUCCCAUAGUUAUCUUAAAAUGUUGUACAUCCCAAAUAGACUUAAUUAUCUCCCACCCCCAAAUCCUGCUAGACUUAGCUCUCAUCCUCUCUCACACGAUCUCAGUCUCUCUUUUAUCCUGUGAUGGAGGACUUGAGUCAGUUCAUAAAAAUUUGUGGCAAUAUCAAAGAGCAAAAUGAACACUCGAAUGUGGUCUGGCCAGAGGAGAAAUAUGAAAAGCCAGCACAUAAGAUGAGCCCAGAAACAGAUGUUAAAUAGUCCUUUAAAAUGGUAAGUGGGUCUCAGAUUUAACUCUAAGCUUCCUAGUGCCCAAAGGGAAUCUGGAACCACAUUCAGCUAGGUGACUAUUAGGUGCACCAGAUUGCAACUAACUCAAUUUCCAACAGUUUCCUGUUGCAACCUGGGUGAAGUUUUCCCUGACCAAAGGGAGCCUUCUAUACUGUGGCCCCUGCUGUCCUUGACCCUCAUUCAUUGAAACAUUCAGUUUUCUAGACCCUUUUUCAAUCAGAGUGAUGGUCUGACACUGGAUGAUGUUUUACAGGUAGAUGGAGCUUAAUGAGAUACAGGCAGAAGGGCCUGUCGAAGGCUUCUCUUUCCAAAUAACAAGAUGAUGUUUUUAAGGAGAAGGCACCCCUACAUCCCCUCUGCUUGGGGCCAUGUUGUGCCUCAGGGUUACAACGACAGAGCAGGAAGAUAGAAGGAUCCUAGGUCUGCAAGGCAAGUAGAAAUUUUGUGAUUGUCCCUGAUUGUUGACUUUAAACCUCUUUAUUAUGUGUGAGAAUCACCUUGUUUAAGUCACAUUUCCCCCCCAGGUUUUUCUUUAUUUUUUUUUAAGAUUUAUUUAUUUAUUUAUGAGAGAUACAGAGAGAAAAGCAGAGACACAGGCAGAGGGAGAAGCAGGCUCCAUGCUGGGAGCCCAACAUGGGACUUGAUCCUGGGUCUCCAGGAUCAGGCCCUGGGCUUAAGGCAGUGCUAAGCCACUGAGCCACCGGGGCUGCCCCAGGUUUUCCUUAAAAUCAAGUUAAUUAAUGUAUAGUGUAGUAUUGGUUUCGAGAGUAGAGUUUAGUGAUUCAUCACUUACAUAUGACACCCGGUGCUCAUCACAACAAGUGCCCUCCUUAAUGCCCAUCACCCAUCAAGCCUAUCCCCCUGCCUACUUCCCCUCCUGCUACCCUCGAUUUUUUUCUCUCUAGUUAAGAGUCUCUUAUGGUUUGCCUCUCACUGUUUUUAUUUUAUUUUAUAUUUCCUUCCUUUCCUGUACUUUCAUCUGUUCUGUUUCUUAAAUUCCACAUACGAGUGAAAUCAUACGGUAUUUUCUUUCUCUGACUUUUCCCCUUAGUGUAAUACACUUUAGCUCCAUCCUCGUUGUUGGAAAUGGCAAGAGUUCAUUAUUUUUGAUGGCUGAGUAAUAGUCAUUGUAUAUAUAGACCACAUCUUCUUUAGCCAUUUAUCAGUGAAUGGACACUUGGGCUCUUUCCAUGGUUUUAAGCCACAUUUUUAAGGGUUUCUGAGCAUAACCCUAAAUGAUAAAAUACCCCAUGAUAAAUACUGUAUUCAUU